rnacentral:tRNA from 1 species
GGGGUUAUAGUCCAACCAGGCAAGACGACUGGCUCCAGUCAUGGAGCAUUGAUUCAAGGAUGAUAGAAGAAACCAGUUGAUGGGAGUUCGAAUCUCCCUGACCCCA